UACGAAGGGGGCUAGCGUUGCUCGGAAUCACUGGGCGUAAAGCGCACGUAGGCGGCUUUCUAAGUCAGGGGUGAAAUCCUGGAGCUCAACUCCAGAACUGCCUUUGAUACUGGAUAUCUUGAGUUCGGGAGAGGUGAGUGGAACUCCGAGUGUAGAGGUGAAAUUCGUAGAUAUUCGGAAGAACACCAGUGGCGAAGGCGACUCACUGGCCCGAUACUGACGCUGAGGCGCGAAAGCGUGGGGAGCAACAGG
rnacentral:rRNA from 1 species